AUUGAUUAAAAGCGGCGUGUAUGUGAGUGACUUUGAAUCAAAUACAACGUUAGGGAGAGAAGGGUUGUCAGCGAGAAAACUGUAAGGACCAUCACCGAAGAUGAUGACACCAUCUGAAGAAGAAAAACAAAAAGCAAAUUUUCUUUUGAAAAUAAAAGCAGAAGCUAGUUGAGAUGGAAGAGCGAUUUUGGUUCUUCCAAGACCAGCCAUGCCAGAAGCACCACCUGCAAGUCCUCGUAAUAAUGAUGUUGGUGCGCAUGAAAAUAGAAAGCGUGAAACAACGACAUUUUGUCCUGUGUUGAAACCGCUAGUUGAUUGGAUGGAUAAAACGUCUUCAGCUAGAUCGCCACGAGUAGCGCUGUGUGUGAUGGUGUUGUCCGGAAUGAGGCCACAAGUGUUGUUGCAGCCGGGUUUUGGUGAUGAGAAACAAUCACCACAGCUAUCAGAUUUGGCGAGGGAGCAUUGGGCGGAGGGGCACCGUACAGGGCGGUAUGUGGAGGAAGUGUAGUGGUUUUCACAGUCGACCCAGAGAAAUUUGCCGCCAAGAUCAACGACAAGGUUUAGUGGGACUAGUGGGGUUCUUUGGUUAAUUUGAGCUAUGUAUUGGAGUGUUGUUGCGCUAUCUUUUGUGACUGGGGAGAACAAGUGCUUUGGGUCUGAAUGAUUGUUGAGAGAAAGUUGGUGUAAUGAAGAACAAUAAAAGGAGAAGGGAAAUGAAGUGUUGGAAGUUGGUAUUAGCCAUGACUAGAGACAUUGUAUAUGGAAAAUAGAUAAAUGUUGAGUUGGAGAGGAUGGUGCAGAGGCGGCUCUAUUUAUACUUGGGAUUGAGUAGGAAGAGUUGCCAUUGUUGAUUCAUUAAUGAGUGUGGCACUAAGGAAUGGGUCCUUAAGUCAAAGACAAGUUGAGAUGUUUCUUUUUUUGAAGGAUCAAAGACAGGUUGAGAUGUUAACAAACGUCAGAUAUGAUUGCUACAUUAUUUUUGUGGGCAAUUCUAUGGUGUAUAACCCCUAAAAAAACUAUUUUGUACAAAUGAGAAAAUAUUGGAACAUGUACAAAUUAGUUUUCACCACUAAAUCAAGUAAACUCAUACUUAAAGUUAAAUGAGAAAUAAAAUGAUUUUUUUUAUCAAAUUGGUACAAGACUAUUUUACUUGUGUACGUUAGCCAAAGUCUAUCUUUAUAUCUAAUAUGACAACAAGAUAUUGCCUACAAUAUCUCAACAUGUUAAUAGCUUUUUGGUCAAACUUAAAGACUUUUAGAGUGUGUUUAGAUGGGGGAAUGUUUUGAGGGAAUUCAAAUACUUUGUGGUGAAUUCCAUUGUUUUAAUAAUAAUUUGAAGAAUUUUCAAAAUGAUGGGAAUUUAUGAGGUAUUUUGUUCAAGUUAAAUUUAGAGAAUUUCAAAUGACGCUUAAAAAGUAAGAAUUUCAAGACCUAAUUUUUUUUCAAAAUUUUCAAUUUGACCCCAAUAAAUUUCCAAAAAAUUAUGAAUUGACCCCUCAAUUUUUUAAAAGUUCCCAAAAAUGAUGACAUUGAAAUUUUUUAUUACUCCACCCAAACAAAAUUAUUGAGAAAUAAAUUGACCCCUCAAUUUUUUCAAAAAUUAUAAUUUGACUCCUUCAAAAUUUUUUAUAUUUACAAAUUGACCCCUAAUUUCAAUUUUCAAAUUUGGCCCAAUAAAAUUAAAAUUUAUAAAAGUUCCCCAAAAAUGAUGACAUUGAAAUUUUUUUAUUACUCCACGCAGACAAAAGUAUUGAGAAAUUAAAGGAAUUUAAUUGAAUCAUUAAAAUUACCUAAAAUUUUAAAUUCUUUAAAAUUUCUCAAUUACCUCGUUCAAACACACUCUUAGUUUUUUUUUAUGAGAUGAACAUAAUGAUACCCAUGUAAUUUGAUUGAGCAUGUUGCCCUCAUCUAAUAAUAAUUUCAUGUCAGAUUUUUAAUUUAUUUUAAAAUAAAUUUGAAUAUUAAACAAGAUUUGCCUAGAGAUACUGGGAUCCACCAAAAAACUUUAAGUUACGUAAGAAUUUACCUUUUAAUGAUUCAUCCAUCUCAUUAUAGGCAUUUCUUUUAAAAGAAUUUUUUGUCUCAAAUUGAUAUAUAAUAUCCUUGAAACAUGAAUUCUUUUACCCAUUUAUUUAUUAUAUUUUACUCCACUAACUAUAGUAAGGCAUUCCUUACUAUAUUAUUUCGUCAAAAAAUACGAGUGAAUGCCAACAGGAUGCACAAGUGGUGAUGAACCGUGAGCUAAACGAAUUUGGAUUACUAGCGGACACCAAUUACACACAUUUAUGUAUAAAUGUAUCAAUGGUUGUUGGAUUAAAAUUCGACGAUACAUAAUUCAAACUCAAUAUUUUUUUUUAUUAAAAAGGUUAAAAUUUGUAUGAAUGUGUGGAAAUCGACGACAGUAGAGUAUACUCGCUUUGGGUGCGCAAAGAAUUUUUAGGCUCUCCUAAUAUGGCACCUCAUAAUGGCGAUUGGCAACAUGGUAAUUUUUUUUUUUUUUUAAUGAUUAUAUAUAUAUAUAUAUAUAUAUAUAUAUAUAUAUAAAAGGUGUAUCAAAUGAGAUGAGUUUUAAUAUGAGAUGAGAGGAUUCAAUCUUUACCAUGAUGUCUAAUUUUUAUAACUGCAGAGGAAUUUCACCAUCUUCAUUGUCGUCUGUGUUCUCUCACAACCUUUCCAAUUCCUCACAAAAUCCCUUGCAACUCCUGUAACCCUUAUCCUACUCAAGAAACCUCAAAUCACGUUUCUGUUUUGCUUCUGCACAAAUCGAAUUGAAUAGCUGCAAAUAGGGGUGGUAAAAAACCAUGAACCGAACCAUUAUAAUGGUUUACGAACCGUACCGUUAAUUUAUUAACAGUUCUUGAACCAUAACCGAACCAUCUUGAACCGAACCGAACCAAACCACUUGAACUGAUUUUUUUUUUAAGGAAACCACUUGAACUCUUUGUUGGAUCUUUCCAAAAAAACAACUUAUUUAAAAUAGCUUAUUAUAAAAAGCUUAUUUUAAAAAACAACUUAUUUUAUAAAAACAAUUUAAAAAAAAAAAAAAACUUAUUCAAAACAGCUAAUUUUAUGCAAAAUAGCUUAUUUUAAUAAACAACUUAUUCAAAAAAAAUUAUUUUAUGCAAAACACAUUAUUUUAAAAAACAGCUUAUUUAAAAAUAAAAUAAAAACUUAUUUUUAAAAAAAUCAGCUUAUUCAAAACAGCUUAUUUGAAAAACAACUUAUUUUAAAAAAAAAAAAAAAAAAAACUUAUUCUAUGAAAAAUACCUUAGUUUAAAAACAGCUUAUUUUCAAAAAAUUAACAACUUAUUCAAAACAUGUUUUGAAUAAAAUAAGUUGUUUGAAUAAGCUGUUUUUUAAAAUAAGGUGUUUUGCAUAAAAUAAGCUAUUUUUUAAAAUAAGUUGUUUUGCAUAAAAUAAGCUGUUUUGAUUAAGUUUUUUUAAAAAAAAAAGAGAUUGUAACAAGCUAUUUUUAAUAAAAUAAGCUUUUUAGAAUAAGCUGUUUUUCAUAAAAGAAGCUGUUUUCAUAAAAUAAGCUGUUUUUUAAAAUAAGGUGUUUUGCAUAAAAUAAGCUGUUUUGAAUAAGUUGUUUUUCAUAAAAUAAGUUGCUUAUCAAAUAAGCUGUUUUUUUUUAAAAUAAGGUAUUUUCAUAAAAUAAGCUGUUUUGAAUAAGUUGUUUCUUAAAAUAAGGUGUUUUCAUAAAAUAAGCGGUUUUGAGUAAGCAAUUUUUUAAAAAGAGAUCGUAAUAAAUUGUUUUUUCAUAAAAUAAGUUUUUUUGAAUAAACUGUUUUGCAUAAGAUAAGAUGUUUUUGAAGAAAUAAACUAUUCUAACUUUUAAUUUGUUAUUUUUUUAGGGUUAAUAGGCCUUUACCCCCUAGUAAUAUAGGUCACUUUUGGUUUUACCACCUGUAAAAAAAAAAAUUGGAUUCGGUCCUUAUAAAAUUUUUUUGUUUUGGAAAACACCCGUAGACCAGCUGACUGUGCAUUUUUGCUGAUGUGACAUGUUGUGUCACCUUUUUCGGAUGACGUGGCGCACUGACGGUAUAAUUAUUAUUAUUUUUAAUUUUUUUAUCGGAUACACGUGGCAUUUAUGAUUUUUUUUUAAAAAAAAUUAAAAAUUCUUAAAAAAUUUUAAAAAACGAAAAAAUAUUUUAAAAAAUAAAAUAAAUUCUGGAAAAAUUAAAAUAUUAAUAAAAAUGAUUAAAAAAACGAAAAUAAUUAUGGAAAAAUAAAUAAAAAUGAAAAAAAUCUGGAAAAUUUAAAAAUUUUAGUAAAAUCUAGAAAAUUUAAUUAAAAAAAAUUAAUAUAUAUCAAAAUUUUCAAAAAAAAUAUUAAAAAAAUAUGAAUUAAAAUAAAAUUAUAAAAAAAAAUUGAAAUUCUAUUCUUCAUGAUCUAAUGUUAUGUUUUUUUAAUUAUGAAUAUACUUUCCAAUAUUUUGAUUUUCUGUAUAAAAAAACAAACUUUUUAAUUCGAAAGAAAAAUCUGAACUUUCAUUUUUAAUUCUAUUCUUAUUAGAUUCAUAAAUUUUGAAAUAUUGUAAGUUGCUGAAUUUUUUAUAAAAUAAAUCUUCUUAAUUUCGAAAAAAAAAUAGAAAAUAUUUUUCCAGAAUUUUUAAAUUUUUCCUCUAUUGAAAAUAGAUGGAAAUAUGAAUUUUUUGAAAUAUAUUAAUUUUUCCAGAUUUUAUUUUAUUAAAUUUUCUAUAUUUUUUUCAUUUUACCAGAUUUUUUAAAUUAUUCCAGAAUUUGUUUUACUAAAUUUUCUAGAUUAUUUCAUUAUUUUUCAUGUACCAGAUGUUUAUUAAUUUUUUCAUAAUUAUUUUUCGUUUUUUUUAAUCAUUUUAAUUAAUAUUUUUAUUUUUCUAGAAUUUAUUCGUUUUUAAGAAAAAAUUUAUUUUUAUUUUUAGAAUAUUUUUAUUCUUAUUUCAUUUUUAUAUAAUAUUUUUUCUUUUUUUUAAAUUUUUUUUAAAAAAAUCAUUAAUGCCACGUGUAUCCCAUAAAAAAAAUUAUACAGUCAGCGCACCACGUCAUCCAAAAAAGGUGACGCAGCAUGCCAAAUCAGCAAAAAUGCACAGUCAGCUGGUCUAGGGGGAGGACCGAAUCCAAAAAAAAAAAAUUACAAGGGGCAAAACCGAAAGUGACCUAUAUUACAGGGGGUAAAGACCUAUUAACCCUAUUUUUUAUAAUAAAAGUGGUUUUAUUCAUUGGAUAAAAUAUAUUUAUUUUGUUCGAUUCGGUAUGGUUAAUAGGUAAGCAAAUGGUUAACCAAACCAUAACUUUGGCUCAAUUCGGUUAGUUCCAAACUUGAAACGGUUCGGUUCGAUUUUCCCGAACCACUUCAAAAUUUUGGUUCGGUUCGGUUUUUUGGUUAACCAAACCAUGCCCUUCCCUAGCUGCAGAUCAAAAUGUUUCCUUUGAUCAAGUGAUCGUAUUCGCUUGCAUCUUGGAAUUCACCAACAUACUUAUCGUCAGGAGGAUUAUAAAAUUAGGUUGUUUGUGUAUAAUAAAUAAAAAGAAGGCUUUAAUAUGUGUUUCGUCCCUCCAAUUAGUGGUCAUUUAAAAAUUCGUCCAUGUAAUCGUUAAUCCUUGCAAAUUACUCUUACAAAGUUUAAUCAAUUAAAAUUUCGUCCCUACACCCACUUAAUUACUGCCACGUCAUCAAAUUAGCAAAAUGUCAUGGGAAUGGACAAAAAUAACCUCAUCAUCCUUCUUAGAUCUUAUUCUUUACCACAAUCCAACAAUCUUCAUCAUCAACUUCAAUCCUUCAUCUCUCCCAUUGAACAUUAUAAUCAACAACAAACACAAACCCAAUUUUUUUUUAUCUGUGAGCAACAUAAUGUUCAUCUUAGUGUGUUAUCUAGCUUACCAUCCUUCGCAUCGCACGGUCAAAGCACCAAAAGCAAUUUGCUUCAUUCUCAAUAAGAAUAACCAAAGGUGAGCAAAUAUCAUUCAUUCCUGCACUUUAACAUUAAAAAUUGAAAGGUAUAGUCAUCUACCUUGUACGUAACCAAUAUCAUUGUCCAACCAACCAUAAACCGAUAGAACAUCCCAAAGGUUUGCUUGAUUAGCUUCAUUUUCAUUACAAGGAUCUAUGGAGAAUUUAUUAAUACUUAAAUUGACAAGAUGAUUAAGUUAUGUCGAGGUGGUGUUGUUGGAUCUGUUGAGGUGAUGUUGAAGGAAGUUGUUGGUGGUGGUGUUGGGUUUGUUGAUGAGAAUGAAGAAUGUGGUGGUUGUUGUUGGUGGUGAUAAGGUUGUUGUUGUUGGUGGUGGUGGAGGGGAGAAAAGUGAAGAUGAAGUGAGAAGAAGAAGAGGGAAUCGAUGUUCAGGUGAAUCAAUGUUUUCUUUUUUCAAUUUGAGGAUGAAUAUCCAGCAAGAAAAAGAAGAUGAAGACAAGGGCAAAAAUGUCAUUUCACGUGUGGGUUGGCCAAUUAGGCAGUAAUUAAGUGGGUCAAGGACGAAAUUUUAAAUGAUUAAACUUUGCGAGGCUAAUUUGCCAAGAUUAACGAUUACAAGGACGAAUUUUUAAAGGACUCCCUAAUUGCAGGAAUGAAACACAUAUUAAAGCCUAAAAAGAAUUAGGCUGUUUGUGUUUGUCACUCCAGAUUAGGGAUGGCAAUGGGUACCCAAUGGGUAGGGUACUAUAGUAACCAUCCCCAUACCCGUAUUUGUGAAAAAUGCCCGUACCCUGUGUCCGUACCCUCGUGGGCAAAAACUUAAGUGCCCAUACCCGCACUCAUUACCCGCACUUUAGCCAUGAAAAGAUAAUAAAAAUCACCACACUUGAAAUAAAACUAUGAUCCAAAUUUUUUUAAAUCAACUUACGAAAUAAUAUGAAUCGUAAUAUUUAACUAAAUAAAAAAACAUCCAAAUUAUUCCCAGAAAGAAAAAAAAUAGAUACCUUACAUCAGUUAUACGUUAAAAAGUUGUAGUUGCAUGUUAAAAUCAUAAUAAAUUGUUACUAAAGUUUUUAUUAAUCUGUUUUAGGUUUAAGGUUAGGCUUAAAUAGUUAAAUUUAUUAAUUAAUUGUACACCAAAAAUAAAUAAAUUAUUUAUAAUAUUAUAUAAAUACAUAUAUGUGGGUUGCAGGGCUGGGUAGUACAGUGCCCAUACCCGUGCCCAUACCCAAAUAAAUUUGCGGGUAAUUACCCAUACCCAAGUCCGGACCCAUGAAAGCGGGGUUUUACCCUACCCAUUGCGGAUAUUUUUUGCGGGUGCCCAUAGGGUCUGGGUCCAAUUGUCAUCCCUACUCCAGAUCCAUUUUUGGCUUGAUUGAAACUCUUUUCAAAUCUAAAAAACCUAAAAUAAAUUAUCACACCAAACCAUCUUUUUAUUUGAUCAUCGUAAAAAUCUAAAAAAUCGAUGAUUCAUCAAAUUCUUUUUUGGUUUGAUCAUAAAAAAAAUCUUAAGAUAUCAAAAGUGCCAGAGAUAUAAUUAAAUAUUGAUGGGAGAGACUCAUUUAAGUAACAUUAAGUGACCAAGAUAGAAAAAACUUAAUCAAGGGAUAUCAAAGUAAAAUCAAAUAAAUAGUUAAAGGAGAAUAGAAAUUUAGUCUAAAAUUUAUAUUCGACAAACUAAUCACAUGAACAAUCUACCCAUCACAAGUCAUAUCCAUAUAACACAACUCAGAUCAAUAUGAUGCACCAAAGUAGUCAAUAUGAACAGAUUAUUAAAAGAUUAACGCAUAAUUAUAAUCUUACUUAAUAUAAAUCAAAGGUGGUUUGGUUACUCCAAAUCCCUAACCCUAAUUGCAGCCCUAACAUCCAAAAUGAUAAAUAUAUCCCUGAAUAUCAAGUCAUUUCCCUCCAAUUUGUUGCUUUCCUGCAUUAGUCUUGAACCACUCAAACUCUGGCCCACUCACAUGCUUUUCAUUGGUCUUGAGCCACUCUAUGAAUAAAUGUUUGCUAUAAACGAUGUAUGUAGUUAUUCAAGAACUCAUUAACCAAGACUUAGGCCAACUAUCAACUACUUCAUUAGGUAGAUCACUUCCAUUCUCUUGCUAUUUAACAUUGUGUUUGGAAUGAGGGAGAGAGAUAGGAGCGAGAGAGGUAGGAUAGAAAGUCACAAUUGGAAUUUAGGAAACAUUGGAAUUUGGUGAUACAUUGCUCAUCUUAUACUACCGGUUCAUAAUAAAUCUAUCUAUAGAUUUAACAUGCAAAUUAUGCUUCAUUACCUUUAGAUUCAUAUGUCAAUAACGAAAUUAUUAUUGGUUGUAAAAAAAUAUAAUGAUAUUCAUUUAUAAUCGCAUGGGGCAAAAGUCUAGUCAAUGAAAAAGCAAAUACAGUAUUUGCUUAGGUUUUUGUCUUGGACAAAUUAUUCAAUAUUGUGCUCGUGAUUUUCGGAUAUCAAACCAUUAAUUGAUUUGAAUCGUUAAUCUUUGAACUCUCGAUUUUUAUUCGUGGGAAGGGAAAAAAUGAGUAAAAAACCCUUAUCGAGACUUUGGAUUCGGGGGUUGGUUACGCGAAGGGAAGGUGUUAGCACCCUAAGCGUCUACGGUAUUCCGUAGGAACCUCUUACCUAAUUUAUCUUGUGCUAAAUUCAUUGCUUAUUUGAAAAUUAUUACCUAAAAAUCUAAGUGAAAGAAUGGGGGGAGAAGAAGUAUAUUUUUGGUUAUUUUUAUUUGAUUUGGAAGGAUAAAAAUCCUAUGCCUACAUACCCUUAAAGAAAAGGGAUCAAAACCAAUGUAGUUCACCUAAAAAGUUUCUUUUUGGUGGGUUGGUUAAUUUUAACAAUUUUGGAAAAAGGUUUUAAGAAGAGAUUAGAGGCCUCAAGGCAUGAGAGAAAAUAAGGUGAGGUUGGUCAAAUUUUAAUUACAAGAAAAUCAAGUCUAAUAUGAAUAUUAAUUCAAUUAAGCAUUUGAUUAAGAAAAUAAAAGGAAAAACACUUGGGUUACAAACCAAGGUUUAUUAAGAAAAAUAUUUUUUGAAGUUUCACAUAUUUGAUUUUUUUGGUAAAAAGAUUUUUUCUAAACUAACGGUAAAAACUAACGUAAUGCAACGUAACAAGAAAUAAAAGUGGAGUGUCGGUGCAUGUGUUAUUACAUCAAUUUCUAAAUACAUUCUAUGGUCUCAAGAGAAAUAUAAUAGCAAGAAAUAAAAAUACACAAAAAUAAAUUACAUCCAUUUCUUAAUUAUACACACUAAAUCAAUGAUGGCAAGAAUUAAAUAUGCAUGCAACAGUUAUAAGUAAGCAUAAAAUAAAUUGAGCAUGAAAUAAAUCGCAAUUAAUAAUAAACAAGCAAAUAUCAUGAUAAAAUAGUGAAAAUAAGCAAUUAAAAACAAUUUUUAUGGCUAGAAAGUUUAAAAGGAGGAAGAUAAAAAUUUAACAUAAAAAUAGACAUUAAAAUAACAAAAAUGAUAUAAAGCAUAUGAAAAAAUAGUGGAGAAAUAAUAAAAAAAAACCAAAUGGCUCAGUUAGGAUGAAUAUGGACCACUUGAUGAAUCAGGAGGUCUAGAUUCAUCACUGUAUCAACUCAUCACAACCGCCAGAUCAAUGAUCUAGAAGUUAAAAAACAAAAGGAACACAGGGACCGAUAGAUUUACAAUCUAACGGUUUAAAUAAAAAGAACACAGUGAGCAAAAUAAACAAGCAUGCAUACAAAACAACUGAGGAGGCAUCAACAGCCGUUAGAUCAAAGAUCUAACGGAUCACAGCAAAGGCACAUGGAGAUAAUCAUGAAGCGCACACACAGGAACAGACCAAACAAAAAGCACUAUAAAAGCAGAUCAAACAAAAAAAAACACACAAUUCCUUUCAAUUCUCUCUCUAAGUUUAACUUAGAGAGAGAAGCUCUCCCUUCUCUCUAAAAAUUUUCUGAAAAAAAAAACGGAAGAGGAAGACGAAUCUUCAUCUUCUCCGGCGAGCUUCGCCGCUCCUGUGCGGUGGUUUGCCGGCCCAACAGGGCGGCGCCACCGCAUCGGAGAUACGAAACAUCUCCGAUUUCAAAUCUUUUUACAUAUUCUAAAAUCCUUUUUUCUCUACUUCUCAAAUAUCAACUCAAAAUUUUCAAAACAACAACACAGAAGCCUAGAUCUAAACUUGAAGAUUCAGUUUCAAACUUUUCUAUUUUUUAACCGUUUUCCAAAAAAGAAACUCACAUCUCAUACAGAUUUAGGAAGUAAAAUGAAAAGGAGAAGAAAGAACAAAGUGAUACUGGUUACCUCUUUAGAUCGGUUACGAUCUUGGAGGUUAUACUUCUGAGAAAAAUAAAAAAAAUGUUCGAUCUAGCUUCUUCCUUGCUCAAAACGGUCCGAACGUUCCUUCCCUUCUUGUUGCCUCACGGAUCCAUCUCGGAUUCGUACGGAUCUGCUCCGGUACAGUUGGAAUUCGAAAAGCGGUUUGGAUCGGUAAUGGAAAAGAGUUAUCGUUUCGAUUUUGGUUCCGAUCUGUGAUAGUGUGAUAUUGUGACUUAUGGAAAAUUCGUGGAUGAACAUUCAUGAAUUGUUCAUAUUGUGUUCACGAUAUUUUUGUGAUUUUCUUCUGGAAAUUGGAAAGGGGAAUGAGAUUAGGGUUUUGGAUGAUAUGACUGCGGCUGAAAAAGUCCCUGCUGCGUGAACAGUGCCGCCUCCUUUUCCUCCUUUUGCAGGUUUGAUUUUAUAGCAUUAGGGUUGAAGGGAAAAAGGAAAUAACUUGUAGAAAACAGCAACCGUGUGCUGGAUUUGGAAACAAACGUUUGACUCUAUGAACCUGCCUGAAUAUGAGGCAUAUGAAAAAAAUAUUUUUUGGACCUUUGCUGGGAUUUUUGCGGACUCAUUGACAUUAUAGCACAAAAACAGAAAAUAAAUUAUUAAAUAUAUAAAAUGAGUAACUAAUUUUAAAAUCAAGACUAAAAUUAAAACUAAUAAAAGAUGGAACUUAAAUACUGAAAUAAAGAGAAAAUAAAGAGAGAAGAGGGCCCGACUCGGAAUAAAAAAUGAGGUACUUCAAAGUAACUUAUUUGUUGAAAUUUCGUCUGAAACGACGAAAAUUCCCGACUUUAAAAAUACGAAUAAAAUGGAUAAGAAUAGAGAAAAGUGAUCAAAAUUUGGGGUAAGACAAAUAUAUUAGAUACAUAUAUCCAACCAUUUGUAUAGAAAGGGGAAAAUACAUUCUUUAGUUUACAUCAAAUAUAACUACACUCCUUGCAAACCAUACAUGAACUUCAAUGCAAUUUAUUAUGAACAAAGGAGACACUAAUUAUUCAAACUUGAAAGUGUAUAAAAAAUAAUGCUGAUUUUGAAAAAAGCAUCUAGGCAGUGGAGGUAAAGUUGAAGUUAGAACAAGUAGUUUGUCGUCCAAAGAGCAAGGAGCUAAAUCCCAAUUUAGAAGCAGCCAAAUCAAAUUGCAAAAGAUUAUUCUCCAACUGAUACCCUCCAAUCACAAUUGAAGUCCUUGUAUUCUUACCACCAUUCACAAAUCCAAGACACAAAACUUCAUCAUUUAUACUCACCAUUGAAUUUGCACCAAAUAUCCUCCAAACCACAUUUUCAUUUUGCAAAAAGAGCUCAAUAGUAGGCACAGCUGCACCCAAUCGUGUCCCAGUCAAAUUAGUGUAACAAAAUUCAAAAGGCGCAACCGAACCCACCCUCUUUAUGUUUCUUGCAGCAGACGCUUUCACGAAAGCGUCUGUAACUGCUUUGUAAAUAGAAGCUUCUAAAACCGUGUAAGGAUCAACCGUACUAAUCUUUGUUCCACCAACACCGUUAUUGUCUAUAGACAACAAACUAGUGUUAAGUGAAACAACUUUUUCAUCGAUUUUUAUUGUUUUCACGCCGAUGAAAUACUCGGCUGAAGGCUGACCUUGUGAGAAAGCAGAAGCUGUGCUAACAGGAUUGAUCAAAAGCGGUGUAUAUGUAAGCGAAUCCGAGUCAAAAACAACGUUGGGAAGAAAACCGUAAGGUCCAUCCCCGAAUAAAACAACUCCCUUUGAAGAGGAAAGACAAAUAGCGAAUUUUCUAGCGAAGCUAAAAGCCGAAGCUAGUUGAGAUGGAAGAGCUAUUUUGGUUCUUCCAAGACCAGCCAUACCAGAAGCACCAGUUGCAAGUCCUUUUAGUAAGAAAGUUGGUGCACAUGAGAAUAGGAAGCGUGAAACCACGACAUUUUGUCCUGGGUUGAAGCCAUUAGAGGAUUGGAUUGAUAAAACAUCUUCAGCAAGUUCACCGCUGGUGGCGGUGUGGGUAAUGCUAUUGUCCGGGGUGACACCACAAGUGUUGUUGUUGCAGCCAGGUUUUGGUGAUGAGAAACAAUCACCACAGCCGUCGGAAUUUGCAAGGGAGCAUUGGGCUGAACGGCAGCGUGCAGGGCGGUAUGUGGAAGAAAUGUAUUUGUUUUCGCAGUCAACCCAAAGAAACUGGCCACCGAGAUCGACGAUGACGUUCAGUGGGACUAAUGGGGUUCUCUGGUUGAUUUGAGCUUUGUAUUGGUUUGUUGUGGCCCCAUCUUUUGUGAUUGGGAGAACAAGGGCUUUUGGCCUGAAAGAUUGUUGAGAGAAAGUGGGUGAAAUGAAGAAAAAUAGGAGAAGGAUUGUAAUGAAGUGUUGAAAAUUGGAAUUAGCCAUGGCUAGAGUGUAAAGAUGUAAAUGAUAUUGAGUUUGUGAAGAUGGUGUUGAGGCAGGUCUAUUUAUAUUAUAUUGAUCGAGUUGCCACAUUUGAUUUGGUUCAUAGUGUAUUAAAGAAGUUGGUGCUUUUAAGUCAAAAACAAUUUGAGAUGUUAACAAUGCCACGUUUCUUUGUAUCUAACACGACUACAUGAUGUUGCCUUGUUUAUAUUAUCUGGACACCACAUUGAUUUCUUUGGUCAAACAUGACAAUUUCAGUUUUCUAUAUUCUUCUUCCUUUAACGCGUUACUAAGUUUCAUCUUUUUAUUUUUUAUUGCAGUGUUUUAUCUCUCUCAAUUUCAAAAGACUGAAGAGGUACUUCUUUGUUGUUAUGCAGUGCAGGCAUGAGUUACUUAAUAUAUUAUUGGAAUUCUUGUACAGUGUGUAAAUAUACUUACGUAGAUUAUUAAAAAGUGAUAGCCCAAUUAUGGCAAAAUCUAACUAAAAUAGAGUUUCAAAUUUGUACACUAACAAGAUUUAUCUAGACGUAGAAAGAGUGUACGCGUAAUCCAAAAGUUCAAAUAUUUCUCCUGAUGAGAUAUAUCUUAUCUGUAACUUAUCCAAAAUGAAUACAUGUAAUCCAUUAAUUAAUUAGUAAGUCGAAUUACUUUAUAGGUCUAUCGUUUGUUGGAAAUUACACGGCUGCUUAAUAGAUUUUUUAAGUAAGUUUUAAAGGCUAUUUUAUGUCAACAAAUGUAGCUGGGAGAUUAGACUCCUAUAAAAGCGACAACUAAAAUUUGAAUUUAUGAGAAGUAUCAACAUUCAGUGUCUGAUAUAAUUCCUUUCGCACAUCAUGUGUAGGAUGUAACAUCGUUGGUUUCGCAAUAUAAUUUUAUUCUGAUUUGUUAAAAGAAAAGAAAAAAACAAAUAGUGUAUGAUAUGUGAAAAUUAGAAUUACAUUUACACAUGUCAUUCCUUAAUUUAGUUUAAUAAUGAUUUGAUUAUUUAUUGUUUUUUACGUCAUUUUGGCUCUUUUGAAUUGUUUGCACAUAUGAAUUCUCAAGUUUUAAAUCUAAAAACUGAGAACUCACAGGAAAAUAAAAUCAUAUAUUUAAAUCUUGAAAAUGUAUGUGUAAAGGGACCAAAAUAGGUAAAAUGACGUAAAAAAAAAUUAAAUGACGAAAUCGUUAUUUAAAACUAAGUUAAGAGAUCGUGUCCAAAAAAAAAACUAAGUUAAGAGACGAAUUCAAUUUUGUCAAUAACAUCUUACAAAAAAAGAAAGUUAUGGAAAAAAAUUGUGUCGUUUUCAAAGCAACUUAGAAUAUCAGGAGAUUUAGUAUGUGGGACUUUGGUUAACUCAAUUUAUAACUUCAACAAGGCUGAUACAUAUCGUGUUAAAACAUAUUUUGAGGCACCUUUUAGAUCAUCUUUUUUGUUAACAAUCAACUUAAAAAGGUUUUCACAGGGCCGACCCAAUGUACUUGUAGGCCUAAAGUGAAUUUUAAAUAAGGCAUUUUCAUAGGUUUCCUCAAUUGAAAGUAAUUAUAUUCGAUGUAUCUUAGACAAUAAUGUGAGUAUCUCUCCAGUUAAAAUUCGAACAUUGGUUUUCAAAAAACCUAGGGCCGGCCCUGGGCAUAGGCCAACGAUGGGAGAUGUAUACAGAAAUAUUAGGUUUAUAUGGGGUAUAUAUAGCAAAUUAGUUUAUGUAAGAUGUUUAGGCUAAAAUGUUAGUCAUACUACGCAAUUGAACAUGCAUAAAUACAAGAAGCAUCUGAGAUGAAAUACAAAUGCUAUGAUUUGUAGAUAGCUUAUUGAGCUAACAACAGAUAACUAACUAACUAUUUAUAGACAUGCAAAUUAGUCCUCCACCAUAUGCAAUUUUGGCAAGGCUAUACAAUCACCUGUUAAUCAAAAACCAUUUUUAUAAUAAAAACAUAAAAUAAAAACAAUAACAAUCAGUCCAUAGAAGAUCAUCAACUUAAUGUCCUGAAACAAAUUAUGAUCUCCAAUUGUUUCACUUUUUGUAGUUGCAUUGUCAAAAGAUUUGUUGGCAACAUUAACGGUGUUUGGUGCCACGUAGUUGUUGUUAGUAUGUGGAACAGGGUCAUUGUACAUACAAUUGUAAUCGUAACCAUGGUGAUAAGGAUAAGUAACACCAGAAUCAUCAGCACAAAUAUGAGUUGAACCAGAAUGAUUUCGGGUGGAGAAGUGGAGUGUCCGAGGUUCGAACCCUCUGCAUAUAAAAUGCGAUAUUCCUACCAAUUGAGCGAAACUCACGGGGAUAUGUGGUUUCUUUAUUAUGAUCACAAUCACACCACUUUGAGAACUUCUUGCAACUUUAUAAUGAUUAUCUUUAAUUUUUUUGGCUUUAUCCAAUAUUUGCUGAUCAGCUAGACUCUUUACGGUCAGUUUUCCCACAUCCCCUUCAAUCAGAUCAAAUGUGUAACCACCUGCAGAAUUGUGUACAAAUCAAUGUUUCAAAAAUUGAACCGAACAUCAUAUUAGUGACAUUUCUAAGUCGUAGUUUGACUAUUUGAAUUAGAAUAAAAUCGCAAUUAAACUGUUCGAUUCAAUUCAGUUUUUAAAACAUUCAUAUGAGCAAAUUUUUGUAUUGAAAUUAGCUUGCUCAUAUUAUAGUGAAGUCAAGAAGAAGGGGACAAAUAAGUGUGAUACGUACCAUUUAGUCUUGUUGAUAAUUUCCCUAACGAACUUUGACAUUUCUUGCAGUGUACUUUAAAGCGGUAUGUCUGCAAGUGAAUAAACAAAUCAUGUGAAAGAGAAAUGAAAACACGUAAAAUAGUUUUGAUAUAUGAAACAUAACCACCGACGCAGACACUGUUGAUGUCACAAAUAAAUUUACAAAUUGAAAUGGAGCUUCUAAAAAUAGGACAUCGAAAUUGGAGCUUUUACCGCUUAUUUACAAAUUGAAAAGUUUUGAUUGUUUCAUAAAUAAAUAAACUAACGAUUAUUUUUAUGAAUCAAAAAACUAUUUGUCGAUGUUGAAAAUUUUUCCAACACUCCAAUAAAUCACUUUAGAGUGUUGUUUGUGCUUCCUAAUAUUCAAUAUAUACUACUUAUAGGUUGAAUUUGUAUGUAUAAAUCUCAAAUUAGAAGAAUUUAAUAAGUGGUUAAUUAAAAAAUGUACCUUUCGGAGGAACGUCGAACGAAACCAUUUAAGUAUAUUCUAGGAGGCCGUUAAGGACAAGCAAGAGAAUGAUAUGCUACCUUAUGUAGGAGAUGAAUAACCUUCCUAUUUAUUUAUUUGAUUUCAUAAAAAAAAAAAAUCUUUUAGGAGUAUUUCAUAAAUUCUUGAUCUUAUGUCCUUAUGUCAUACAUACAUAUGAGCAUGCUCAAAUUUAAUGCGCAAUUGCAGUCGUGAGGAUGCUUCAUCAUUUAUAUAUAAAAACAAUAAAUUACAACUUUCAAAGGGGAAGUGAUUUGGCUCAACCUCACAAAGGAAAAAUUAAUUUGAUGACUUGGAAACUAAAGCAUGCAUAUUUAUAAUAAGGGUUUUUCUAUAAUAGAAUAAUAUACUUUUUUUUUUUUGCUUUCGCAUCGGUUUCCGACCCAUCAAAGGUGAGCGACUAAUUCGGCUCAUGCGUAAAGGCAUGCGCACUGGCCAAGUGUUGUUCCCCCUGAAAAUCGAACCCGGUAUUCCAGGGUACGUCCUUGGAAUGAGCUCUUUGCCACUGAAGUCCAAACAACUUUGUUAGAAUAAUAUAUUUUAGUUCACAUUUCACGUACUUAUUUUACUUUUUCCCUCAAUGAUCGAGAUUUAAAAAUAAAAUAAAAUUGUACUAUCGUAAUAAGAAAUAAAACCAAAAAACAUUGCUCAAAAAAAAAAAACCAAAAAACAUUAAUAUCAAAGUGGAGAAGGGUAAUGCUGUAAAUUCCACUUAAUAAUUAAAAGCAGAAACCUCUUUCACACCAAAACACACAUAUGUUUUGUCGCAGGUUACGAUUUUCAACAACCUCUUUCAACACAUAUGUUUCAUUGUGUAAAAAAAAAAAAACAACCUCUUUCAAAAGUCAGUGCAGUUUGCAAUAAUUAAAUCAUCUCAUCAACUUGCAAAAUAUAAUAAUAAUUUUUUUUGAACAGGAAAAUAUAAUAAUAAUAAUUAAUCAUCACAAUUAACAAGUUGUCAAUUAAAUCAUCACAAUUAAUAAAUUAUAUCAUUGCAAAUAACUCAUCUGAAAAUGUAGAUAAAAAACCAACGAAUUGGUUCAUCGUCAAUGGCUUUUUCCAUUAGAAAAAAAGUUAGUAGCUUUAAGCAUGUAUGCCAGGCUAGGCUGCACUUAUGGUGCAUAAAAUCUAGAAAUGGUUUUUGUGAGUUGUAUUUCAAAAUCAUUAGAUGUACUUAAUGGUUUCUAGCACUCUGCAUAUAUCAGAGUAUGUUUUGUAUAAAAUUAUGUCAAAACCAUUUUACUGUGGAAAUGAUUUCUGUGAAUUGUACUCCAAAAACCAUUUCUAGAUUUAUGCAGAGUGCAUAAGGAUUUCCUUAUGCACCAUAACCGCAUCCGUCAGACUAAUCGACACAUUGCAAGUGCAAAAAUAGGGAGCACCUAUAUAUGUUUUUAUUUAAUUUGAAAGAUAAAUUGUAAUUACCAAAAAUACACUUUAAGUUUAAGUGACAUACAAUAGUGGGAUUUGGGUUUUCAGUAAAAACAAAGUGGAUGUAGCUUGCUAACUUACACCUUAGUUAAAAGUGGGUGUAAGUUAGCAGCCCCAAUGUUGCUAAAACACAUAUUCUAGAAAAUAAGUGGGUGUAUGUUAGCAACUCUUAUAUGCAUUUGCUGGGAUACACCCACUUAUUUUUUAGAAGGUGUAAUUUAGCAACUCCUAUAGACAUUUGCUAGGAUACACCCACUUAUUUUUUAGUGUAUGUUAGCAACUCCUAUAUGCAUUUGCUAGGAUAUAUAUAUAUAUAUAUAUAUAUAUAUAUAUAUAUAUAUAUAUAUAUAUGGAGAUAGUACUCCCUUUGUCCUUAUAUCUAAGCACCUUUUGCAUUUUUUACAUUUCUUAAGAAAAGUUGUUGGUGCAUUUAAUGUGUCUAUUUUGUGCGUUAAUAUUACCAAAUUGUCAUUUGUUUGUAUGUGUAUAAAAUUUGACUUUUCAUAUUUUAAGACAAGUUAAUAAUAUUAAUUAGGGAUAUGUUUAGGAAAAAAAAUAAUAAAUGCAUAUAGUAAUUCAAAAGCGAUAUACAUCUAAGGACAAAAAUAAAGUUAAAUGUGUGCUUAGAUAUAAGGAGGGAUUAGAUAUUUUUAGAAUAAGAUUUUAAUUCCUUUUUCUAAGGGAAGGUGAAUGUAGGUUUUAAAUUUGUUUUUGACAUCUCAAAUCCAAAAAUAGAAUGUGGGAUAGUAUAAAUGGAUGGGAACUUCUAUGGUACACUCAUAAAUUAAGGUGUAUCGGUAUUCCUGCUUCCAAAAUUUAUAUAUUAACAAUCAACUUUAUGAAAUAAAUAGUUAUUUGUCGGCAUUUAUAUCUCAGAAAAUAUCAUUUCAUAAGAAAAACACAUCAUUCAUUGUUUAUAAGAAUCAAUAAUUUUUUUUACAUAUUUUCGUAUAAAAUAAUCAAAGUUCUCUAUUAUGAGCGAUAAAAAUUCAAAAAAAAUCAAUUUUAAUUCGUUGAUGCUUUUGGUGAAUAAGAUUUUAAUCAUUAUAAUUAUAAAUGAUAAAAAAAUAAUAUAUUUCUUCAAAAAAUAACUCAUUUAACUAUAAAUUUAAGGAUUUGAUGUACCGGUACACUCAAAAAUGUUGGGUGUACGGUAGAAUUUGCCUAAAUGGAUACGGAGAUGUUUCAACACAAACAAUUAUGAUAUCUUUGCUUUCUCAUUUGAAAUUUUGAAUAACAAAACCUCCCCCGACAACUUCCUCUCUCACCCUUUUCCAAUACCUUUCUUUAAUCCAUCCCCUAAUCCUCCACUUUCAUAUAAUCAAUUCAUUAUCUUUUUUAAAACAUUUUAUUAGUUAGUGAAGAGCAGGGGAAUGGAUCCUCUGCGGUGACUGCAGAGUCUUAAAUAUGAGCCUUUAAACACAAUUAAAUACUUAAAAAUAUACUCCCUCCGUCCCAAAUUGUAUGUCACUUUGGAAAAAAUAUUUGUCCCAAAUUGUAUGUCGCUUUACAAUACCAAUAAAAAAUUAAUAUUACUUUUCCUAUUAUAUCCUCAACUAUUUAUUACUUUCUCUUCUUUCAAUUCCUUCAUUUAUCUUUUCCAUAUCAUUUAUUGAGGACAAUUUUGUAAAACAACUCAUAAUAUCAUUUUCCCACACAAUAUUAAUUACAUUUCUUAAUAAGUGUGAAAUGUCCAAAACAUCAUACAAUUUGGAACGGAGGGAGUAUAUGUUAAAAACUUGAAAUUAGGAGAGAUAAUGAAUUUAAUGGUUUAGAUUCCCACAUUGAAAAACAAGAUAAAAAUACACUGGAGCAAAUCAUCUCCCACAGAGGGGGAAGUUGAGAGGAAAGUAUCAUAGCAUUGGAGAAUGUGAUUUUGUGAAGUAUAGUAACCUAACCUGUUCCGUAAUGACAUGAUAUGGUGGUGGGGGUGGCAGGUAUAGAAUAUGAUAUCUUUUCAAAUCUCAAAAAAUCUAAAAUCAAUUACUACACCAAAUCAUCUUUUUAUUUGGUCAUCGUAAAAAUCUCAAAAUCGAUGAUUCAUCAAAUCUUUUUUGGUUUGAUCAUAAAAAAAAUCUUAAAGAGAUCGAAAGCGACAAAAAUAUAAUUAAAUAUUGACGGAAGAGACUCAAUUGACUAACAUUAAGCAACCAAGAUAGAACAAAAACUAAUUAAGGGAUAUCAAAGUAAAAUCAAAUAAACAGUCAAAGGAGAAUAUAAAUUUAAGACAAAUUAAUCAAAUGAACAACUAACCCAUCACAAGCCAUAACCAUAUAACACAAUUCAAAUCAAUAACCGUUUGUUGUGCCUUCAAAAAAAAUUCGUUUUAAGAUUUCAGGUUCGAUAUUCUCUCCGAUGUCAAUUUUAAUGGACUAGUUUAACUUCAUAAAAAAAACGUUUGUUUAUAAUUAAAUGCAUUAUCAAAGAAUAUAAUAGUUGAUAUAAUACUUUAUUAUUUUAAUAUUUGAUCGAGGUUAAUCUAUAAAAUAAAAUCCAACUUACUAAUGUAAAAAAUAUAUGAUGCAUCAAAGUAGUCGAUAUGAACAGAUUAUUAAAAGAUUAACGCAUGAUUAUUACAAUGAAAAAGCAAAUACAAUAUUUACUUAGGUUUUUGUCUUUGUGGGCAUUUCUAUGGUGCAGUUAAGAAAUUGAUUUAUUUUUUUAAAAUUAUUUUGUUUAGGAAAUAAGAUAAAUGUUAUUUUAUGAAGCAAUCGCAAAGGAAAAGUUAUCAAAGGUGAUUUAUGACUACUAUGCAUCCGGGGUAGAGGACUAGUGGACUUUGAAAGAGAACCAACAUGCAUUCUCAAGGAUUCUAUAAUUUACAAACUACUUUUAGUUUAUAUUCAUCUUCCAUUUAAUUUAACCUUGUGUGCUCUAUUGAAUUAAGCACUCGUUUCACUAUCUAUAUUAAUCUGAGAAAUAGGUUCAGGCCACAGAUUCUUAUGGAUGUGAGCAAGAUAGAUUUGACAACAACUAUAUUAGGCUUAAAUAUUUCAAUGCCUAUCAUAAUUGCUCCUACAAUCUUGCAAAAGAUGGCUCACCCUGAAGGUACUCACUGUUCUGCGUUACAUUAAGAUAUUACUCUUGCAUUAUGUUUUUUUUGUUAUUGUCAUUAUGUACAUUUUUUUAUAAGAGUUCAUGUACAUUUUGUUAAUACAUAUGUGUCGGAUUCUUCAUGUGUUUGACAUUGAAGUUUAUUUUUUACUAAUAUAGAAAAGUUGGUUUUUUGGAAAAGUUAUUUAUUUAGCCAAAAGUUAUGUCUAUAAUAUAAUAAUAAAAAUGUUUAAUUUUGAUUUAAUCAGAGACUCAGUAUGACUGCACCAUAAAAGGGGGAAAAUACAUUCUUUGGUUCAUAUAACUACAAUCCUUGUCAAACCAUACAUGAAUUUCAAUGCAAUUUAUUAUGAACAAAGGAAACACUAAUUAUUCAAACUUGAAAUAUGAUUCAAACUUGAUAGAGUAUAAAAAAAAUGUUGAUUUGGGAAAACGGCAUCUAGGCAGUGGAGGUAAAGUUGAAGUUAGAACAAGUAGUUUGUCGUCCAAAGAGCAAGGAGCUAAAUCCCAAUUUAGAAGCAGCCAAAUCAAAUUGCAAAAGAUUAUUCUCCAACUGAUACCCUCCAAUCACAAUUGAAGCCCAUGUAUUCUCACCACCAAUCACAAAACCAAGACACAAAACCUCAUCAUUUAUAUUCACCAUUGAAUUUGCACCAAAUAUCCUCCAAAUCACAUUGUUCUGCAAAUAAAGCUCAAUAGUAGGUACAUCCGCACCCAAUCGUGUCCCAGUCACAUUAGUGUAACAAAACUCAAAAGGUGCAACCGAAUCCACCCUUUUUAUGUUUCUUGCAGCAGACGCUUUCACGAAAGCGUCUGUAACUGCUUUGUAAAUAGAAGCUUCCAAAACUGUGUAAGGAUCAACGGUACUUAUCUUUGUUCCACCAGCACCGUUGCUACUGUCUAUAGAUAACAAACUAGUGUCAAGCGAAACAACUUUUCCAUCUAUUUUAAUAGUUUUCACGCCGAUGAAAUACUCGGCUGAAGGCUCACUCUUUGCGAAAGCAGCUGUGCUAAAGGGAUUGAUCAAAAGCGGUGUGUAUGUGAGUGACUUAGAAUCAAAAACGACGUUGGGGAGAAAACCGUAAGGUCCAUCCCCGAAUAAAACAACUCCCUUUGAAGAGGAAAGACAAAUAGCGAAUUUUUUAGCGAAGCUAAAAGCCGAAGCUAAUUGAGAUGGAAGAGCUAAUUUGUUUCUUCCAAGACCAGCCAUACCAGAAGCACCACUUGCAAGUCCUUCUAGUAAGAAAGUUCGUGCACAUGAGAAUAGGAAGCGUGAAACCAUGACAUUUUGUCCUGGGUUGAAGCCAUUAGAGGAUUGGAUUGAUAAAAUAUCUUCAGCCAGUUCACCGCUCAUGGCGCUCUGGGUAACGCUAUUCCCUGGGGCAACACUGCAG
rnacentral:lncRNA from 1 species